rnacentral:rRNA from 1 species
UGGGGAAUUUUGGACAAUAGGGGAAACCCUGAUCCAGCCAUCCCGCGUGUGCGAUGAAGGCCUUCGGGUUGUAAAGCACUUUUGGCAGGAAAGAAACGUCAUGGGUUAAUACCCCGUGAAACUGACGGUACCUGCAGAAUAAGCACCGGCUAACUACGUGCCAGCAGCCGCGGUAAUACGUAGGGUGCAAGCGUUAAUCGGAAUUACUGGGCGUAAAGCGUGCGCAGGCGGUUCGGAAAGAAAGAUGUGAAAUCCCAGAGCUCAACUUUGGAACUGCAUUUUUAACUACCGGGCUAGAGUGUGUCAGAGGGAGGUGGAAUUCCGCGUGUAGCAGUGAAAUGCGUAGAUAUGCGGAGGAACACCGAUGGCGAAGGCAGCCUCCUGGGAUAACACUGACGCUCAUGCACGAAAGCGUGGGGAGCAAACAGG